AGAAGUUGCUUGGCAUUUUUCAGAGAGAGGCGACGGAGGUCUGCAUCUGUUCCUGUCACUGUCUUCUUCACUGGCUGAGGCUCCUUAUCAUCCUAGCGCAAAAACAAAACAAAACAGAAAUUCAGACAGUCUCACCUUCUGCUGUGUUGGUUUGUUUGGAAUCUUCACAUAGGAAAAUCCUUCACCACAUCCUGUGGGAUCUGCCACCCCAGUCACCUCCAAGAGACACUUGCCCUUCAUAGCAGCAAUGAAGGCCCUUGUGGUAUUCCAAGGAGCAGUGCGAACCUGAGAGUCAAGAUUGCAGUGUGAGGAGGAGUAUCUGGAACAAUGAUACCCUUUCAGCAGUUUUCAGACGUGCUGCCCACACCCUCGGGAUGUGCAAAGAGG